rnacentral:rRNA from 1 species
CCGGCGCACGGGUGAGUAACGCGUAUGCGACCUGCCCGUUGCAGGGGGAUAAUCGGGAGAAAUCCCGUCUAAUACCGCGUAACGCCGCGGGGCUGCAUGGCCCUGCGGCCAAAGGGAGCGAUUCCGGCAACGGAUGGGCAUGCGUGACAUUAGCUAGUUGGCGGGGUAACGGCCCACCAAGGCGACGAUGCGUAGGGGUUCUGAGAGGAAGGUCCCCCACACUGGUACUGAGACACGGACCAGACUCCUACGGGAGGCAGCAG